AUUGAACGCUGGCGGCAUGCCUUACACAUGCAAGUCGAACGGCAGCGGACCUUCGGGUGCCGGCGAGUGGCGAACGGGUGAGUAAUGCAUCGGAACGUGCCAUUGAGUGGGGGAUAACGUAGCGAAAGUUGCGCUAAUACCGCAUAUUCUGUGAGCAGGAAAGCAGGGGACCGCAAGGCCUUGCGCUCUUUGAGCGGCCGAUGUCAGAUUAGUUAGUUGGUGAGGUAACGGCCUACCAAGGCGACGAUCUGUAGCGGGUCUGAGAGGAUGAUCCGCCACGACUGGAACUGAGACACGGUCCAGACUCCUAUGGGAGGCAGCAGUGGGGAAUUUUGGACAAUGGGGGCAACCCUGAUCCAGCCAUGCCGCGUGAGUGAAGAAGGCCUGGUU
rnacentral:rRNA from 1 species